rnacentral:rRNA from 1 species
CCUACGGGAGGCAGCAGUAGGGAAUCUUCCGCAAUGGACGAAAGUCUGACGGAGCAACGCCGCGUGAACGAUGAAGGCCUUCGGGUCGUAAAGUUCUGUUGUUAGGGAAGAACAAGUGCUAGUUGAAUAAGCUGGCACCUUGACGGUACCUAACCAGAAAGCCACGGCUAACUACGUGCCAGCAGCCGCGGUAAUACGUAGGUGGCAAGCGUUGUCCGGAAUUAUUGGGCGUAAAGCGCGCGCGGGCGGUUUCUUAAGUCUGAUGUGAAAGCCCCCGGCUCAACCGGGGAGGGUCAUUGGAAACUGGGAAACUUGAGUGCAGAAGAGGAAAGUGGAAUUCCAAGUGUAGCGGUGAAAUGCGUAGAGAUUUGGAGGAACACCAGUGGCGAAGGCGACUUUCUGGUCUGUAACUGACGCUGAGGCGCGAAAGCGUGGGGAGCAAACAGGAUUAGAUACCCUGGUAGUCCACGCUGUAAACGAUGAGUGCUAAGUGUUAGAGGGUUUCCGCCUUCAGUGCUGAAGUUAACGCAUUAAGCACUCCGCCUGGGGAUACGGUCGCAAGACUGAAACUUAANGAAUUGACG